rnacentral:rRNA from 1 species
GUCGAGCGAGAAAGCCCUUCGGGGUUAUUAAAGUGGCGAACGGGUGAGUAACACGUGGGCAAUCUGCCCUUCGUUGGGGGACAACCGGGGGAAACUCCGGCUAAUACCCCGUAAGCUUGUCGGGUCACAUGGCCUGAUAGGAGAGGUAGCUUCGGCCAUCCGGCGAAGGAGGAGCCCGCGGUACAUUAGCUAGUUGGUGAGGUAACGGCUCACCAAGGCUACGAUGUAUAGCUGGUCUGAGAGGAUGAUCAGCCACACUGGGACUGAGACACGGCCCAGACUCCUACGGGAGGCAGCAGUCGGGAAUCUUGCACAAUGGGCGAAAGCCUGAUGCAGCAACACCGUGUGAGCGAUGAAGGCCCUAGGGUCGUAAAGCUCUGUUGUUGGGGACGAAGGGCGAAGGGUUAAUAGCCCUUAGCCUGACGGUACCUUUCGAGGAAGCCCCGGCUAACUACGUGCCAGCAGCCGCGGUAAUACGUAGGGGGCGAGCGUUGUCCGGAAUUAUUGGGCGUAAAGAGCGUGUGGGCGGCUUGGUAAGUCUGCUGUGAAACCUUGGGGCUCAACCCCGAGCGUGCAAUGGAUACUGUCGAGCUAGAGGAUGGUAGAGGCCAGUGGAAUUCCCGGUGUAGCGGUGAAAUGCGCAGAUAUUGGGAGGAACACCAGUAGCGAAGGCGGCUGGCUGGGCCAUUCCUGACGCUGAGACGCGAAAGCUAGGGGAGCGAACAGGAUUAGAUACCCUGGUAGUCCUAGCCGUAAACGAUGAACACUAGGUGUGGGGGGAGUCGAAUCCCUCCGUGCCGAAGCCAACGCGUUAAGUGUUCCGCCUGGGGAGUACGGCCGCAAGGCUAAAACUCAAAAGAAUUGACGGGGGCCCGCACAAGCAGCGGAGCAUGUUCUUUAAUUCGAUGCAACGCGAAGAACCUUACCUGGACUUGACAUGGUGCUGCAAGCGCACGGAAACGUGUGACCUUCGAGGGUGGCCCACAGGUGCUGCAUGCUGUCGUCAGCUCGGGUCGUGGAAUGUUGGUAGUCCCGCACGAGGGCACCCCUGG